rnacentral:rRNA from 1 species
UGGGGAAUAUUGGACAAUGGGCGCAAGCCUGAUCCAGCAACGCCGCGUGAAUGAUGAAGGCCUUAGGGUUGUAAAGUUCUUUUAGUGGGGAAGAUAAUGACGGUACCCACAGAAUAAGUCCCGGCUAACUUCGUGCCAGCAGCCGCGGUAAUACGAAGGGGGCUAGCGUUACUCGGAAUUAUUGGGCGUAAAGCGUGCGUAGGCCGUGAUGUAAGUUGAUGGUGAAAUCCUGGGGCUCAACCCUAGAACUGCUCUCAAUACUGCAUCACUAGAGUGUAGGAGGGGAUGACGGAAUUCCUAGUGUAGAGGUGAAAUUCGUAGAUAUUAGGAGGAACACCGGUGGCGAAAGCGGUCAUCUGGCCAAACACUGACGCUGUUGCACGAAAGCGUGGGUAGCAAA